GAGCUGAGUUUAUGUAGGUGAACCCCACAGACCUGAGUCAGGCCCCUCGUGAAACUUACAGUAGAUUCAAGCAGACAGACUUAGAACAAAUAAUCACAAUUACCAGAGAGGCCGGAGAGGUCCAAGGUCACACAGCUGGAAGCCACAUGGACAGUAUUCACACCCAAGUCUGCCUGAUUCCCAAGCCCUUAUUUUUCCAUGACACUCCCAACCUCUUGAGACUGGUUGUAACCAGGCAGAGGACCAGAGACGGGAAGCGAUUUGCCAAAGGUCACACAGCAAGAGGACAGCCAAAUGCAGACCCAGAUUCCCAGGCAUCCUGCCCAGAAUUCUCCUCAGAAGAGACCCUGAAGCAGUAUGCAGUUACGAAGCCAUGCUGAUGACAUGGACAGAUGGUGCUCCUGGAAGUCAGCACUGUGCCAUGAGCGGGCCAGGGCAUCACAUCUAAGAAAACUGAGGCCAGCUGAGGCACACCCAGCCAGUCAGGGCAGACCCAAGUGACAGAGGGUCCUUCAAAGAGGAGCCACAGGCCCAGCAGCCUGUAUCCCACAGCCCAACAGAGCAGAUAAGCAUCGGACUAUAAAAAUGGACAAGAGAGGGUCUGGAGAGAUGGCUCAGCAGUUAAGAACACUGGCUGUUCUUGCAGAAGA